CAGAGAAUGUAGCGUCGUUAAUGAGUUGAGGAUCCAUAACAAGUCAAAUUUAGGAGUGUGGUACGUUGUUUUCUCUUUUCUUUUCUUUUGUUAAUGGGAUUGUUGUAGUUUAGAGGAAUAAACGGGGAUCCGAGUGAGUGUGUGUGGGAGCUUUGGGUUAUUUAAUUAUGAUUUGUGAUUAGGAGAGUGAGUGAAUGAGUGAGUGAGCGAGCGAGCGAGUUCUGAGUAGAGAGGAAACUGGAGUUUUUUUUUUUUGGACAUGGCCUAAGGCCAAAAGAAACGACUCGGCUCACACAAUCAGAACUUAACCCGACCCGAAAAACUACCCACACAGAGACCCACCCCCAAACCGACCCCAAUCCUGUCUUCUUCUCCUUCACCUUCGACCAGAGAUCUUUCAAAGCUUGAGCCUAUUGCUGCAUGUGGAUGAAACAAGCUCCCAGACCUUCAUCAGUGGCUUCAAUCGGAUUCUGCAGGUGCUGAUUUCUCAAGGUCAUCGAAGUUGCGCCUCCUCUUCUUUAAGAAGGUUGCUCCUCGUCUUCAAUGGUGGCCAUUUGUGCUUCGCGUGGCUUGUUGCUUCCUCGCUCCAAAGCGCAAGUGGUUCUGUUCUCCCUGGGGUGCUUUACCCAUUUCUCUAAGGAAAGUCCUACUCCUGCCCUGUGGUAACUCCUGUCGUCCCCUCCCAUGGCACCUCCCAAGUUGCAUUGGUGCUGCCAGCGACUUCUACCAAUGGCCCAUCCCCUUGUCUCUGUUGGUUCAUUGUAGCUCCCAGUUUUCGACCCAAGCAUUUGAAAUGCUCGAGUCUGAUCAUCCACUCCAGCUUCUUCACUCUUCCCUGGUUCAACACCCACCCUCCCAGGUGGAUUGAUGAUCCACUGCCUCUGUAAUCCAUUCCCCGCUGCCGUUGCUGCCAGUUGGUGAGCUAAGUUGUUUCCGUCUCUUGGAGUCUAGGUAACUUCUACAUCUGGAGCCUCUUUCAGCAGAUAGAGAAUGUCUCUGAUGAUUGCGUCUGUCUCUGCCAAAGAAGUUUUUGCCUUAAUUACUUGAACCAGAGUCCCUGGCUACCACUGCUGAAGCUGCCAUGCAUGUUUUCCUGUGAAAAGCCGCAUCAGUGUUCACCUUUAACCAAUCCUUG